AUUGAACGCUGGCGGCAGGCCUAACACAUGCAAGUCGAGCGAGCGGCGGACGGGUGAGUAAUGUCUGGGAAACUGCCUGUUGGAGGGGGAUAACUACUGGAAACGGUAGCUAAUCCCGCAUACCAUCAGAUGUGCCCCGAUGGGAUUAGGUAGUAGGGGGGGUAAUGGCUCACCUAGGCGACGAUCCCUAGCGGGUCUGAGAGGAUGACCAGCAACACUGGAACGGGGACACGGUCCGGACUCCUACGGGAGGCAGCAGUGGGAAAUAUUGCAAAAUGGGCGAAAGCCUGAUGAAGCCAUGCCGCGUGUGUAAAGAGGGCCUACGGGUUGUAAAGCACUUGCAGCGGGGAGGCGUUACCCGCAGAAGAAGCACCGGCUAACUCCGUGCCAGCAGCCGCGGUAAUUC
rnacentral:rRNA from 1 species